CGAGAAAGCAGCCUGGAAGUAAACCAUUAAAAGAAUGCUCAGGCCCAAUUUUACAUCAUAACAAAGUUCAUGAUGCUUUAAUUAUUCGUUUAGCUGGCUUUUUGAAGGCAUAACCGAGAGGGCUUAUCAGAAGCGGCUUGCCAUUUUUCCGAACAAGAAGACUGAAGAAGAAAGGGACGAGAAGAGCAAAAGAGAAGCUCUCCCGUUACCACAAAAGUGUCUGGGUGGGCUUCAAAACACCAAAAUGGGCUAUUGACGGAGAGCAAAAGAAAAGCUACCCCGUUACCUUAAAAGUGUCCGGGUGGACUUCAAAACCCCAAGAGAGGCUACAGAAGGCCCCCACAUUGACAAGAAAUGCCCAUCACUGGAAACUUCUCCAUCAGUGGAGAAACUAAUGUGUGGUGACCAAAAUGAAGAUGAGGAGGACUGUUGGUCAUCAGACCCGACUACCUGCAGUACCAUCGCUGUCUGUUCAUCUCUCGCCACGCUUCAGGACGUGUCGGUCGGAGACAUCGUGACGAUCGGGCAGCGCCGACCGCUCAGCAAGACUGUGAGGUUCAACGUUCUCAAGGUGACAAAGGCGGCUGGAGCCAAGAAGCGGUUCCAAAAGUUUUAGCUGUGCCAGAAGAAACAAGUUGCCCUUAAAUAAAGAAACUUGUUGAAAUAA